AGGGGCGUUUGGCAUGGAUGCCAAACGAGGCAUGUCGGGCCAAGGAUGGCCCGUCUUGCCGACCCU
rfam:Pseudomonadales bacterium RIFCSPLOWO2_12_59_9 rifcsplowo2_12_sub10_scaffold_1696, whole genome shotgun sequence.